AUUGAACGCUGGCGGCAGGCCUAACACAUGCAAGUCGAACGAGUGGCGGACGGGUGAGUAAUGUCUGGUAAACUGCCUGAUGGAGGGGGAUAACUACUGGAAACGGUAGCUAAUACCGAAUACCAUCCGAUGUUCCCAGAUGGGAUUAGCUUGUUGGUGGGGUAACGUCUCACCAAGGCGACGAGCCCUCGCUGGUCUGAGCGGAUGACCAGCCACACUGGAACUGAGACACGGUCCAUACUCCUACGGGAGGCAGCAGUGGGGAAUAUUGCACAAUGGGCGCAAGCAUGAUGCAGCCAUGCCGCGUGUAUGAAGAAGGCCUUCGGGUUGUAAAGUACUUUCAGCGGGGAGGCGUUACCCGCAGAAGAAGCACCGGCUAACGCCGUGCCAGCAGCCGCGGUAAUAC
rnacentral:rRNA from 1 species